CCUGGCUCAGAGCGAACGCUGGCGGCAGGCUUAACACAUGCAAGUCGAGCGCUCGUAGCAAUACGAGAGCGGCAGACGGGAGAGUAACACGUGGGAACGUACCCUUCGGUUCGGAAUAACCCAGGGAAACUUGGGCUAAUACCGGAUACGUCCGUAAGGAGAAAGAUUUAUCGCCGAGGGAUCGGCCCGCGUCCGAUUAGCUAGUUGGUGAGGUAAUGGCUCACCAAGGCGACGAUCGGUAGCUGGUCUGAGAGGAUGAUCAGCCUCACUGGGACUGAGACACGGCCCAGACUCCUACGGGAGGCAGCAGUGGGGAAUAUUGGACAAUGGGCGCAAGCCUGAUCCAGCCAUGCCGCGUGGGUGAUGAAGGCCUUAGGGUUGUAAAGCCCUUCGGCGGGGAAGAUAAUGACGGUACCCGCAGAAGAAGCCCCGGCUAA
rnacentral:rRNA from 1 species